GGAUGAAAUGAAGAUUUAUUGAUUUCCUAUUGGUUUGAUUGCCUGUAUGAUGGCUUUUGUAUUAGCUCUAUCUGAUCAUUC